rnacentral:rRNA from 1 species
GAUUAGAGUUUGAUCAUGGCUCAGAUUGAACGCUGGCGGCAUGCUUUACACAUGCAAGUCGAACGGUAACAGGUCUUCGGAUGCUGACGAGUGGCGAACGGGUGAGUAAUACAUCGGAACGUGCCUAGUAGUGGGGGAUAACUACUCGAAAGAGUAGCUAAUACCGCAUGAGAUCUACGGAUGAAAGCAGGGGACCUUCGGGCCUUGUGCUACUAGAGCGGCUGAUGGCAGAUUAGGUAGUUGGUGGGGUAAAGGCUUACCAAGCCUGCGAUCUGUAGCUGGUCUGAGAGGACGACCAGCCACACUGGGACUGAGACACGGCCCAGACUCCUACGGGAGGCAGCAGUGGGGAAUUUUGGACAAUGGGCGAAAGCCUGAUCCAGCAAUGCCGCGUGCAGGAUGAAGGCCCUCGGGUUGUAAACUGCUUUUGUACGGAACGAAAAGCCUGGGGCUAAUAUCCCCGGGUCAUGACGGUACCGUAAGAAUAAGCACCGGCUAACUACGUGCCAGCAGCCGCGGUAAUACGUAGGGUGUAAGCGUUAAUCGGAAUUACUGGGCGUAAAGCGUGCGCAGGCGGUUUUGUAAGACAGUGGUGAAAUCCCCGGGCUCAACCUGGGAACUGCCAUUGUGACUGCAAGGCUAGAGUGCGGCAGAGGGGGAUGGAAUUCCGCGUGUAGCAGUGAAAUGCGUAGAUAUGCGGAGGAACACCGAUGGCGAAGGCAAUCCCCUGGGCCCGCACUGACGCUCAUGCACGAAAGCGUGGGGAGCAAACAGGAUUAGGUACCCUGGUAGUCCACGCCCUAAACGAUGUCAACUGGUUGUUGGGUCUUAACUGACUCAGUAACGAAGCUAACGCGUGAAGUUGACCGCCUGGGGAGUACGGCCGCAAGGUUGAAACUCAAAGGAAUUGACGGGGACCCGCACAAGCGGUGGAUGAUGUGGUUUAAUUCGAUGCAACGCGAAAAACCUUACCCACCUUUGACAUGGCAGGAACUUACCAAAAAUGGUUUGGUGCUCGAAAGAAAACCUGCCACACAGGUGCUGCAUGGCUGUCGUCAGCUCCGUGUCUGGAGAAUGUUGGGUUAAGUUCCCCGCAAACGAAGCGGCAACACCUUGGGCCAAUAUAGUUGGUCUACAUUCAGUGUGGAGCCACCUUCUUUAUGGGACAUUGUGCCGGUGUACAACCGGGAAAAGCAGCGGUGCGGCGAUGAGACCUCAAGGUAUUUAAUUGGGCCCUAAACCGGGGGCGGUGUGGGGGUUUCACACACAACACACCC